GGGCGUGUGCGCGCCUCUCUCUCGGCUCCUUUCGCAGGGCUGCUUUGUCGCCGCUGCGCGAGGACAGCGCGACUGGAGGCAGCCAAGGCGGCGGCGGCGAAGGUGGCGAAGGCGGCGACCGUUCCCUGCAUCUGCCACGAGACCCUCGGCACAGUCCAAGCGGGCUAGGCGCAGCGGCGGCGGCGGCGGGCGGCGGCGGGCGGCGGCGGCGGCUUCUCCAGCUGAUGUCAUCCGCAGCUGGCGAGGCUGUGCCUGCGCGCUGCGCCGAGAGGGGGACCCGACCCGCCCGUUGGCUGCCUCUGCAGCCGCCUUAGGAGCAGCCGGCGCUGGGAUCCCGCUUGGCAGCCCUCCUCGUUCUCCAGCCGCCGCGGAGGGCACAGCGCCGUCCCGGCAAGAGCAAGAGCAAGAGCAAGGGCGGCCGGGCGGCCGGGCAGAGAGGAGGAGGAUGCGCGCUCCGUCCCAGUUGGAGCUGCCUCUGCGCGCCGCUUCCUGCCACCCUUCGCCGGCCAAGCGCAGGCAGCAGCGGCAGCCGCCCAAGUGAGGGCUACUGGAAGGGGAGGAGGAGGAGGAAGAGGAGGAGGAGGAGGAGGAGGAGAGGGAAACAGCAGCAGCAGCAGCAGCAAAAAACCCGGGAGCCACAGCUGCGCUCCGCCGUCCCACCAGCACCACCACCAGCAGCAGAUUCUCAGCCGACGGCAGCCAGCUGGUAUCCUUCCUUUCUUUCUAAGGGGACGCGGGGGCAGCUGCCACCCGGGCGAGGAGGACCGAAGCGAAGUUGCGAGCCCGCGCCCCGCCAGCGCAGCAGUUGAGAAAAGGUGGCGUCGUGGGUCUCCCCUUUGGAAAGCCCGGCGGCUUCUCCGCCGCCUUCUCCCUCCCUCCGUCCCUCCCUCCCUCCGCAGGAGCGGGGCCCUCCAGCGGCCGGCGGGGCCCGGUUGCACGUUCCACCUGGCCCAGGAAGGGACGCGGCGUCGGGGCCCGCGAUGGGCUCUUUACCUACCGAGAAGGUUCUGGGCAGAUUUCGGUUCUGAUUUAAGUGCUUCGUUGCAAGACAUGUGAGCGGAACAAGUUAUCCGGACCAGCAGCAGAUGAAUCUGCCUUCUGGAGUGCAUGAUUGGACAAGGAAGGAGACCAUAGCACCUUCAGCCCCUCCAGAAUCCAACCAGCCUGCACCCUGACCCCUUCUUACCUGGGUAAGUAGAACUCUUCUGCUUAUGGGAUUGGAAUCUGCU
ensembl:lncRNA